AUCAGGCACGUGAGAGUAUCACAAAUUGAUUAUGGCUACUGCCGUGACCAGAUAUGAAAUAAUGAUUUACACCUCUUUUAUGGCUGGCUGAUAUCUCUUAGUGUUGCAAAUGUACACUCUUUAAUCAGUGGAUUUCCAUUCAUAUUUUCAGUGGCCAUCUGCCCAAAAAGGCCCUGAAUAAGUGGUACUUUUUGAACGAAAAAUGUUAAGGAGGUACCAAACCUUCAAAAUAAUCUGGAUGUGCUCCCUGUUUUAACCAAUCCAGCAAAAUCAUAACUUGUUACCUGCUAGAUGUGGUGUUUUCUUUCCUUUGUUUUCUUCUCCCUAUAGGAGCUCCAUGUUGUGUUCCCACAGCCUUAGAAGGGGUUAGAAGCACGCAAUGGCCACGGGGAGAGGAAGCUACUUUCCAGGCUAAAUCCUCCCUGAUAUAAAUCUGUUCCACUGGCACUGCAUUUUAUCAGGUCAGUGCAGCAGGCAAAGCACGAGAAGUGACACCAAAGCAGGUAAGAGAUCCCCAUUUGUUGUGUGCCCAAAUAUUCCAAGCAAAAGAGUUUACGUCAGCCAUGUGUUCUUUUUCAGGGAGGAGGAGGACAUCAGGAAGUCUCCUAAUCCUUGCUGGGUUGCCAAAUGAUGGAAACGUGAAAGCUGCCAGGAAGAACAGGGAUCAAAAGUGAUACUCCUCUGGUUUGUCUCUCUGAUGCUGCAACCUGGAGACGAGUCAUUUCUGUGAGGAGGUUGUGCAAACAUCAUGUGUUCCUGUGUGGAAAGCAGAGGACACGGCCAGGAGCAACAGGACACGCUGAGCUAAUGACAGAUCUGAAGAAGUGUCAACACCGCAGCCGAACAAGCUCGAGGUGGCAGGAAUGCUGUUCACAGGGGACGUGGGAGUCACAGCAAAUACUCUUUUCAAGGCUGGUUGCUCCUGAUUAAACAGUGUUUUCAGCAGGAAAAGCCAAAAACUUGCCCA
rnacentral:lncRNA from 1 species